rnacentral:rRNA from 1 species
AGUGAACGCUGGCGGUAUGCCUAACACAUGCAAGUCGAACGGCAACACAGUAAGAUUUUGCUCUUACGGGUGGCGAGUGGCGGACGGGUGACGAAUACAUCGGAUUCUUCUUUUUCGUGGGUGAUAACGUAGGGAAACUUACGCUAAUACCUCAUACGACCUACGGGUGAAAGCAGGAGAUCUUCACACCUUGCGCGACUGAAUUAGCCGAUGUCGGAUUAGCUAGUUGGCGUGGUAAAGGCCCACCAAGGCGACGAUCCGUAGCUGGUCUGAGAGGAUGAUCAGCCACACUGGAACUGAGACACGGUCCAGACUCCUACGGGAGGCAGCAGUGGGGAAUCUUGGACAAUGGGCGCAAGCCUGAUCCAGCCACACCGCGUGGGUGAAGAAGGCCUUCGGGUUGUAAAGCCCUUUUGUUGGGAAAGAAAAGCAGCAGGUUAAUACCCCGCUGUUCUGACGGUACCCAAAGAAUAAGCACCGGCUAACUUCGUG